GCUCGUCUAGCUCAGUCGGUUGAGCGCAAGGCUUCUAACCUCGUGGUCGUGAGUUCAAGCCUCACGGUGGGCG